rnacentral:rRNA from 1 species
AUGCAUAAACCGUCUUGUGGUCAAAUUAAAUCGAGAACUACGAAGAUGGCGGCCCAGCUGAGCACGUCCGCUGCGGUGGCGGCGGCCGAUGAUACGUGGUCCAAGCUCCCGGCCGAUCUUCUCGGCGAGGUCUACGGCCGGAUCGUUUCCCCUCUCGACCGCGUCCGCUUCACCGUAGUCUGCCGCUCAUGGCGUGUUGUCAAGUCACGGCAACAGCCGGCGCCGACUUUGCCAUGGCUCAUCUUCUCGUCGUAUCAUGGCGGUGCGAUGCGCGUGUUCUGCCCCAUGGACGGUGUAUCCUUACGCCUUCAGCUCCCGCCCGAGGCAGUCCACAACAGGCUCGUCGGCUUUCAUGAUGGAGGCUGGAUCGCCGCCGCAUCCUCUCGCGACGGUGGUGCUGGUGACUGGCUAACGAUUGUCAAUCUCUAUUCUGGCGUCGAGGCGCCGCUCUCCGCCAAGCAACGCGCCACGCCAUACAUGGACAAGUUAGUGUGUUCGGAGCGCCCCACGUCAAAUCGUUGCAUCAUUGCCGUCACUACGGCCGGGCUCGCGGUGUGCAAAGUUGGAUGUCGCAACCAUAAUUGGUGGAGGUCGAGAGAGCGUAACCAUUACUACGACAUCGCUUUCUACGAUGGGAAGCUAUGUGGCCUACUCCGCCGCAGUCUACAAAUAUACACAAUUAGCAUGACCAAGAACAGCGAUCUGGUGGUCAGCAUCACCUACGAAUUGGACAUGAACCAACUACCCAAGUGUGUGGGAUCCGACGACGUCAGCUACAUUUUCAAGCACGGCGACAGGAUGUUGAUGGCCAAACGAGCCCAGUGGACGACAGUGCAGAACAGGCUUUUCUUCAAGGUGUUUGAGCUAAUAAAAAAUACACGUUACGAUUAUAGCUGGGUAGAAGUGACUACAUUGGACGACCAUGCCUUAUUCUUGAGUACCAAUUGCUCGAAGAUGGUGUACGUGCCGGCGGAUAGGCGUGGCGGAGUAGAGAGAAACCACAUCUACUACAACCAUUUAAAUUUACCAGGUGAUACUAAUCGCAUCUGCAAUGAUGUGCAAUUGAUGAAAUGUCACUACAGCGAACAUUUGUAUUGUAGGAAAGACAAAAAAAUCAAUGGAGUGGAUAGGAUCAAGUCAACAGGAUAUUACAGGACUAGUAACUAUAACAUUACUAAUGACUCUGCGGGUCUGAUGUGGCUUCUCCCCCCGGAAUUCUAG